GUUUGAUCCUGGCUCAGGACGAACGCUGGCGGCGUGCUUAACACAUGCAAGUCGAACGAGGUCCAUCCGGUGGCAACACCGGAGAAGACCUAGUGGCGAACGGGUGAGUAACACGUGAGGAACCUGCCCCGAAGACCGGGAUAACAGCGGGAAACCGCUGCUAAUACCGGAUACCCCCACCGGGCCACCUGGCCUGUUGAGGAAAUGGAUUCCGCUUCGGGAGGGCCUCGCGGCCUAUCAGCUUGUUGGUGAGGUAACGGCUCACCAAGGCGACGACGGGUAGCUGGUCUGAGAGGACGAUCAGCCACACUGGGACUGAGACACGGCCCAGACUCCUACGGGAGGCAGCAGUGGGGCAUCUUGCGCAAUGGGCGAAAGCCUGACGCAGCAACGCCGCGUGAGGGAUGAAGGCCUUCGGGUUGUAAACCUCUUUCGAGCAGGGACGAUAAUGACGGUACCUGCAGAAGAAGCUCCGGCCAACUACGUGCCAGCAGCCGCGGUAAUACGUAGGGAGCGAGCGUUGUCCGGAUUCAUUGGGCGUAAAGAGCUCGUAGGCGGCUUGAUAAGUCGGAUGUGAAACCUCCAGGCUCAACCUGGAGUCGCCAUCCGAUACUGUCAUGGCUAGAGUCCGGUAGGGGCCCACGGAACUCCUGGUGUAGCGGUGAAAUGCGCAGAUAUCAGGAAGAACACCGAUGGCGAAGGCAGUGGGCUGGGCCGGUACUGACGCUGAGGAGCGAAAGCGUGGGGAGCGAACAGGAUUAGAUACCCUGGUAGUCCACGCCGUAAACGUUGGGCACUAGGUGUGGGGCCUUAUCAACGGGCUCCGUGCCGUAGCUAACGCAUUAAGUGCCCCGCCUGGGGAGUACGGCCGCAAGGCUAAAACUC
rnacentral:rRNA from 1 species